rnacentral:tRNA from 1 species
GGCAAUGUAGCUCAGUGAUAGAGUGCAUGCUUAGCAUGCAUGAGGCUCUAUGUUCAAUCCCCAACACCA